GACGAACGCUGGCGGCGUGCUUAACACAUGCAAGUCGAACGGAAAGGCCCUGCUUUUGUGGGGUGCUCGAGUGGCGAACGGGUGAGUAACACGUGAGUAACCUGCCCUUGACUUUGGGAUAACUUCAGGAAACUGGGGCUAAUACCGGAUAGGAGCUCCUGCUGCAUGGUGGGGGUUGGAAAGUUUCGGCGGUUGGGGAUGGACUCGCGGCUUAUCAGCUUGUUGGUGGGGUAGUGGCUUACCAAGGCUUUGACGGGUAGCCGGCCUGAGAGGGUGACCGGCCACAUUGGGACUGAGAUACGGCCCGGACUCCUACGGGAGGCAGCAGUGGGGAAUAUUGCACAAUGGGCGGAAGCCUGAUGCAGCAACGCCGCGUGCGGGAUGACGGCCUUCGGGUUGUAAACCGCUUUCGCCUGUGACGAAGCGUGAGUGACGGUACUGGGUAAAGAAGCACCGGCUAACUACGUG
rnacentral:rRNA from 1 species